rnacentral:rRNA from 1 species
GACGAACGCUGGCGGCGUGCUUAACACAUGCAAGUCGAACGGAAAGGCCCUGCCUUUGUGGGGUGCUCGAGUGGCGAACGGGUGAGUAACACGUGAGUAACCUGCCCUUGACUUUGGGAUAACUUCAGGAAACUGGGGCUAAUACCGGAUAGGAGCUCCUGCUGCAUGGUGGGGGUUGGAAAGUUUCGGCGGUUGGGGAUGGACUCGCGGCUUAUCAGCUUGUUGGUGGGGUAGUGGCUUACCAAGGCUUUGACGGGUAGCCGGCCUGAGAGGGUGACCGGCCACAUUGGGACUGAGAUACGACCCAGACUCCUCCGGGAGGCAGCAGUGGGGAAUAUUGCACAAUGGGCGGAAGCCUGAUGCAGCAACGCCGCGUGCGGGAUGACGGCCUUCGGGUUGUAAACCGCUUUCGCCUGUGACGAAGCGUGAGUGACGGUAAUGGGUAAAGAAGCACCGGCUAACUACGUG